rnacentral:sRNA from 1 species
UGAUUGCGAAAAAGGGCAGAUAUUAUCAACUGUAUACUGGAGCCUUUGAGUUAUCAUAGAGAAAGCAGCCCGAGUAGGGCGGAUUUCGAAUGUUUUUAGGAUUGCGGGAGCACAAAGUGCGGAGCAAUCCGUAGGUAUCA